GCCGACGUGCCACGCCCGGAUCUCACAAGCUCUGCUGCGGCAACGAGUCCCUUCUAAUAAAAACUCUCCCACCACAUCAGCGCCGCGACCGCGACCCCACCUCCCGGAUCUCAUCUGCGACGACCUCCCCGCCUCUCCCUCCCGAUCCCGCCACCGCCCCCGCCGCGCGCCACCCCCGACCAAGCUCUCGUCUCCGGGGAGCGAGCCGGAGCAGGCGGCGGCGAAGAUGUACGGGUGGGAGAUGCUGUCGUUCAACAUCCACGACGGGUUCCUGGAGGCCAUCGUGCGGGGGAACCGCUCGGGCCUCCUCACCGCCGCCGACUACAACAACCUCUGCCAGUGCGAGACCCUCGACGACAUCAAGAUGCACCUCACCGCCACCGAGU
rnacentral:lncRNA from 1 species